GGCUUCACAGUGUAGUGGUUAGCAUGUCUGCUUUGCAUGCAGAAGGUCCUGGUUUCGCACCCCAGGUGGAGCCA
rnacentral:tRNA from 1 species